UGGGGAAUAUUGGACAAUGGGCGAAAGCCUGAUCCAGCAAUGCCGCGUGAGUGAUGAAGGCCUUAGGGUUGUAAAGCUCUUUUACCAGGGAUGAUAAUGACAGUACCUGGAGAAUAAGCUCCGGCUAACUCCGUGCCAGCAGCCGCGGUAAUACGGAGGGAGCUAGCGUUGUUCGGAAUUACUGGGCGUAAAGGGUGUCGAGGCGGUUGUAUUAGUCGUUCGUAAAAUCUACGAGCUUAACUUGUAGGCGGCGAACGAAACGGUACGACUUGAGGUUUGGAGAGGUGCGUGGAACUCACGGUGUAGGGGUGAAAUCCGUUGAUAUCGUGGGGAACACCAAAGGCGAAGGCAGCGCACUGGCCAAAAUCUGACGCUCACACACGAAAGCUAGGGUAGCGAAGAGGAUUAGAUACCCUAGUAGUCCCUGAGCGGGCUGGCAAGGCGCAU
rnacentral:rRNA from 1 species